rnacentral:rRNA from 1 species
AGUGUGAUAAGGGGAUCCUAAGUGCUCAUACAAUGCAUAGGCUUUUGCCAAGAGUAAAUAUCUUGGCGAAUAAGUGGUGGGUAAGACUGGUGCCAGCCGCCGCGGUAACACCAGCGCCACGAGUGGCAACCACGUUUAUUGGGCCUAAAGCGUCCGUAGCCGGUUUGGUAAAUCUUUUGUGAAAUCGUCGGGCUCAACCUGACGGCGUGCAGGAGACACUGCUAAACUUGAGACCGGGAGGAGUCAGAGGUAUUCCAGGGGGAGCGGUAAAAUGUGAUAAUCCCUGGAGGACCACCUGUGGCGAAGGCAUCUGACCAGAACGGAUCUGACGGUGAGGGACGAAAGCUAGGGGAGCGAUCCGGAUUAGAUACCCGAGUAGUCCUAGCAGUAAACGCUGCGAGCAAGGUGUUGCAUAUUCUACGAGAAUGUGCAGUGUCGAAGAGAAGKCGUUAAGCUCGCCGCCUGGGAAGUACGGUCGCAAGACUGAAACUUUAAGGAAUUGGCG